UCGUGCGAGAUCCAAUCCGCCAAUCGGCGCGCCACCAUGGACAAAGAAAAGCAGUAUGUCGCCGUGAGUGAAACCAUGUCCAUCCUUUGAUUUGGCCUAGCGAAUCAGACCGAUGGUGAAGCACAAGGAGCGGGGGAGGUGUGUGUGGGGAUUCCUAACCGUGGGGAGGCCCAAAUCAACCACAAUUUCUCGACGGAGCUGGGAAACCGCCGCCGUGCCGCAUGAUGUCGGUAUUGGGCCUCUACGACAUGCGAUUCCUAGGUAUGAAGUCCUUACCGAUUUCCUUAAGCCCCUAGCUGCGUUCAACACGAUUUUGUAUGGAGUUUGGUCCACUGUAGUGUCGAUCCCGUGGUCGCCGGCAUGACCGCCGCCGUGCACUAGGUGCCUGCCGCGUCCGACUGCUUUUGUGGGGAAGAGAAUCUGGUGAGCGUUGGAUCCUUUAUGUAGGGUUGUAGUAUGGGGGUGUGGUUGGUCGUUGGAUCGAGCGCGGGCGCUCCGGAUCAGACGAAUGGUGACCCCUUCGAAUGUUGAAAUCACGACCGUUGAUUACUGAUCCAACACACCUUGUAGCAUAUCCUUUCGGGUUAUAACUGAGUACAUUGGAUCUGGAUCGUGCGGCCGAGAUCUAGGGAUACCCCUUCAGCCGACCCAUCUUACAAAAGAGCCCCUGAUGUUGUUAAUAAAUAACCCGCCAUUCCCCGCAGGAUAAACAUGAGUCUUAGAGAAAGAUAUGAAUUAGCCCCUGGGUUUCUGUUUAUUUCACGCACAACCCAGAGUUUUGGUAAAUUAGGGAAAAGAUUUAUAAAUUGAUUUUUGAAUAUAGAAAUAAUCGCAGAAACUUAUUUAAUUCCUAGAAAAUUCAUAUUAACUCCUUUUUAGUCCAUUCUAGUUCCUAUAAUUUUGUUUUAUUAUUGUUCAUCACUCAGUAACACUGUUUUAGUAUGAAACUCAUAAUAGAAUUUAUCUCAUAAUUAAUCUCGUAUCAAAUGCAUAAAACCUUCGGAAAUUCUUAACUCCUCCGUUUUAAUUCCGAAUUGACUCGUUCUAGUUGUGUUAGCUUCAUAUAAAUAUUUACUACACAAUAACAACAUCAAUUAUACCAUGUCGCAUACUUUUAUAUUUAUUUAUCCUAUGUCUACUAGACUACCUCUUCUAAAUCAAAUUUAACCUGUCCAUAACUAUAAUAUGAUUAAAGCAUGAUCUCUAGUCAAGCUAUGAUUAAAGUUUAAGUUGAAUUAAUUAUUUAUUUAUGGAAUAAUCUAUCAUAUGAUAUAGACUAACCAACUUAUAAUAUAGUUUAAUAUUUAAAUCACAUAGAUCUUCUAUAAAAUCGUAACUCCUUAAUCGUAACUCCGAUCUUACUAGUUCUCGAUCCCAUGAUCUCGUAGCAACGCGUAGAUUACUACUAUGCAGUUUGUUAUUAUGUUUGGUGUGAUGUUAAUUUUGUCUAUACCAUGUUAGCUUGUAUUGCUACGACUAGCAGUGAGGUCACGAGAAUCUAAAGAUCAUCAUGGUACUUGGAAUCUCAAGUCCCAAGCAAGUUGUGCCCUUGAUCACUUUUAUUACCCAACAAUGUUCUCUAUAAUCAUUUUAUCAUGCAUAGGCUUAAUUUUUAUGGGACCCAAUAGGUUGCCCUAGACUGCUUAUCUUUUUACCUUGUUCACCCCUGAAUCAUUUUGGUAGUUUUGCUAUUGCUCUAUGGUUUUGGGUUUAAUAUUAUAUUAUAUCCAUGUUCCAAUUAUUCUGUUAUUAUAUUUAUGUUCAUGUCAAGAUCAUUAUUGUAAUUGGAACAUGGAGCUUAACUUGGAGAAACACGUGCCACUACAAGGGUGGAAUAGGACGCCCUUGGCUGACUAACUAGGAAAGCUAGUGGAAGACUACCUUACCCGAAAGGGGCAAGGGCAGUAGGGGAGUAGGCACGCAGGGAGGUUCUCGAGUUGAUUUUGCUGCGAUGGCGGUCAGACGAGGGAUUUUUGCAAGUGCUCUUCCCAUAAACUGUAGCGGGUUUUUGGAAGCUAGUGGAACUAGGUAAAGGCCUCGUAGUGUUACCCUACCUCGCUUCCUUGGUAGAGGUGUACGGGAUUCAUGACCUCUUGGCAGAUGGGUAACAUGGCUUGUGGGUAAAGGGUACAACCUCUGCAGAGUGUAAAAACUGGUAUACUAGCUGAGCUCACGGUCAUGAGCAGCUCAGGACUCUCGCAAGAUUAAACUAUGGAACUAAAUUCAGUUUGUCAUUUGCAUUGCAUGGGAUUAUUUAUUGAUUUUGUUCUAUUAUUAUUAUAGUUUGGUAUUUACUUACAUCUAGUAAUUGCUAAUAAAAUUUUGACCAACUUUAAAAGCAAUGCUCAACUUUAACCAUUCUCUUUGGUAAGCCUUACACCUCACAUGAGCUCCCACCUUUAGUGAGUUCAUGCACAUUAUUCCCCACAACUUGUUGAGCAUUGAACAUGUGUGACCUCACCCUUGCUGUCUCACACCCCCCAUAGGAGAAGAAUAGGUGGUUCAAGAAGAGCCACACAACGAGGAGUUUGACUUAAUCUAGGUGGCGUCUCCCAGUUGACUUAUUGGCGCCAAGGAUGGAUUUUAGUUUGUUUUAUAUUUAUCUUUCAUUUUGUAAGACUUCUGCUAUAUAAUAAGUACUCUGAUGUUAUUGUGACAUUUAUCUCUAUACACAUCUGUUAUUAUAUGUGUUGUCUUCUUUGGCGCAUAUAUGAGAUGCACCCGGCUUUGUCCCUUAAAUCCGGGUGUGAUAGGCACUCCAGUCCUCAACGUCGCACGUGUGGAGCAGAAGAAAGGGGAAGUUGGGCCGCCAUCCGAAUUCGGCCCAGUACGGCUGAGUUUGAUUUUUCUUUUGAUUCUCGAUUUCUUUUCUAUUUUUUCCAAAUCCAAGUGCUCAAAUGAAUUUGAAUUCCUAGUUUGAAUCUCAGACUUUUAAAUACCAAAUAAGAUUCUAAUGUGAAUGGUACUACCCCUUUAUGCCAUAAUUAUUAUUUAGUUAUUAUUAUAAUAAUUAUUCAUCCUCCAUUCUUUAAUUCUUUGGCUCCCAUAUUAUAUAGUGUACUAUUUUGGACUCAAGUCUAGUCUUAAUUCAUUUAUAACUUUAUAUUGGAUGCAUAGACAAAAAAUAUCCAGCAUGAUGCAUAGAAUAUUUUAUUAAUUAUUUGUUUUCUUAAAUAUGGUUAUGCUCAUGUUCUAUCUUGUGGAUGGCAAAACAUGUAGUACAAUUAAUUCUUUUCCUUCUCUAUUACAAAUUGGGUAUUACAACUAACUCGCGGUCCGAUAAAAAUUAAAAGAAAUUUAAUUCAGGUCCUGUUUUUGUGGUUUAAACCCUGCUCUUUCAGGUAACAGAAGCCACCGUCCAAAGACUCUAUUAAAUUAUGAAAAUCGAAUCCGAAGUUGAUUUCUAAUAUAAAUAAUUCCUAAACAUAGAAAAUUCAUAUUUUCUUCGUUUUAACUCUAAUUUAAUCCGUUCAAGUUGCAUUUGCUUCGUAAUAAAAUUAUCCACUUGUUAAAACAUUAUGUCAUCUAUUUUCAAGAAUAGUUAAGUGUUGGUUUACUAGGUUAACUUAUCUAAUCAAAGUGAAAUGUGAUACUUUAAUUUGAUCUAUGAUCAUAAUUUGACUAAAAUAUGAUUCUAAUCAAGUUAUAAUUUAGAAUAAAACUAAAUUAAUGUUUUCUUCAGAAUAUCUUUCUCACAUGAUUUAUUAAUCAACAUAGACAUAGUUUUCAUAUUUAAUCACAUAAAACUUAUGAAAACCAUAUCGUUUCAACCAUAACUCUGAAUUUAGAGAUUCUCAAACAUACGAUUCUGUAGCGAGACGUAGAAUAAUAUUACGUGGUUCAUUCUCUUGCUUGGUGUGAUGUUAAUUUUGUCCAUACAAUGUUUGUUUGUAUUGGUGCGAGUAGACGAGCCAGCCACUGAGGAACCUAGAGCACAACAGGUUGAGGA
rnacentral:lncRNA from 1 species